GGCCAGCCACCAGGAGGGCUGCGUGCCACCCGGGCAGCUCUGCUGCUCACUGGCAGU
rnacentral:pre_miRNA from 1 species